GGCUCAACUGGGACAAGUGAUUGCAUUUUUCUUCUCAAAUGGUGGGCUACAUAACAAGAAUUUAGCAUUAGACAGGUAUGCCAGUGUUGCUGCUAGUGGAAAGUGCACCAAUAUACAUGCUACUCCAGGAUAAGGUUGGCAGAUAUGCUUUGGUCAAACACUGGCAUGCACAAGGGACGAACAAACAAACGUAGACAGCCGUCAUAUCUUGCCAUCAAGAACAAGAUUUAAGAAAAGACCUGUGGCCGUGGUCAUGUAUGAUGUAGCUCAAUCACCCCAGAAACAGAAGAUGUUAUUAAAAGUAUAAGCUGAUUCCAGUUUGGCUCUGGCAGAGUGAGGGCAGAAGAGAGGACAACAUGUUGGAGGGGAAGCCAGAGAGUUAACCAGAGAUUAAAUCCUGUUGGCUCUUACCGGACAAGGACUGGGCUUUUACUCUGAGUGAGAUCAGAAGCCAUUGCUGGGCUGGGACCGGAGGAGAUACACAGCUCACAAAACACAUCAAUACAGAGAAUUCAAACUUCUGAAAAACAUAUUGGAUGAAGAAAUGAAGUCCAAAUUAAAAUGAGGAAGUCCAGUCAGAUGACGAACUUGAACACAAAGAGCAAGCCAUUGAGCACUAGUUGGCCACAGAUGUGGAUUUAAGUUUUCUAGCUGCCAAAAUGUAAAGAGGGAAACACGAUCCUCUGCAGGACUCAACAGUAUCCCUGAGAUCGAAUCUGACAAACUGCUCAGAAGGGGCACCUAUGCUUUUCCCUGAGAUGAAUGUCUCCCAUCGUCAGAUGUCAGAUUCUGGAUCUAUUUUGACAAGAGAGCUCAAAGGAUUUCUUCACAGAUGGAAAUGAGGGGUGCUAGACCUCCAGAGAGAGAAAAUGAGACACAUAAGGUGGAAAUUACUCUGUGGUGACACACUGUGGAGUCCUGCCCACAACCCGGAUACUUGGACCCACUCCACUGAAACCUUAGGCCACAGCUAAGUUCCUUCCUUCAAAAAAUAAAUCUAAGAAAGAGGAAAAACAGGAAUGACCUCCUUUCAGGCACUCUGUUGGUUUUAUGGCGCCUCUUCUUGCGAAUGUUUGUGUAAAAUUGACAUACUGUGGUCCUUUUCUGCACAAUUACGGCAAGGAAAAUUCAGAUCGCAAAGGUCCACCUCGGACGUUACUGGGAGGAAUGAGGGCGAGGAAGAGAAAGACGUUAGUCCUCGGACCGUUUCCGAGAGUCAUCUCCGGGAGUAAUGCGAAGAUGGACACGCUCAGUCCUGCCUGUGCAUGCGCGUUCGCGUUGUACGGAAUUCCCAAGCCAGCUGCGUAGUUUCUGCCUUGAAGCUAUUUGGCGAGAAGUUUCGCCUGUUCCUUUACUUUGUGGGUCAGGGCUUGGGUGCUUGAGUGGGAGAAACAGAAAGCCAGCUAGCCCUGGAACCCCUUCUAAGAUCGUCAUCCACCCAGCCAUCCAUAAAUCUGUUCAUCCAUGAAACAAAUAAUCAUUGAGCACCCCUUAUAUGCCAGACACACGUAAGGAUGCAAGGGCCGCGUUCUCAUUCUAGUGGGUGGGGACAGAGAGUAAACAAAUUAUCUACUUAAUUUCAGAUAGUGGUAAGUGAUAGAAAAUAAAACGGGGUGAUAUUGUCAGAGGCGUUUGAACCAGAGCGACUCCAUUCCGAGUGAGGGCUAGGAAAAUGAAGCUGAGGCUUGCUGGGCUGCAUUCCCAGAAAGUUAGGUAUUCCCAGCCUCUAGAUGUUUACGGUUAAGGGAACAAAUUAAUAACGUUUACUAAACAGACCCAGACUUGGGAGUGUCCAGAUAUUCCGAUAUCUGGAGAAGAAAGGCAUUCCUAAUUUUGCCUUAAAGAUAACAACACUGAUUCUUGCAAAACAUAGUAAUUAAGAAAAUUAAUCCUCUAUCACAAACCCUUGUAGCAGAGCACAUCUCCUCAUAUAACAAGCAUUGUACCUAGGGUGGACGCAUUCCUCCUCUUACUUUUGGGAACGUCCUACUCUGUCUAUGGAGUAGCUGCCCUUUCACCACUGUGCUUU
rnacentral:lncRNA from 10 species